CACUAGUGCUGAAAAACAGAACUACUGCAAUCAAAAUGGUCCUGACUUCAACUUCAAAAAUUUGUGCAGGAUCUUGGUCUAUCCCAAGUUCUUCCACCUCCACAGCUGGCACCUACCACACUGAGCUGCUGCAGAGUUAGAGAAAAAUAAGAAGGAGUCUUCGAGCCAGCUGCCUCUUAUCAGCUCAGCCAAAGAAAGGCUGAAUGCCAGGAAAACAAGAAACAGCAGAUUAAAGCUCGACAGAAACCCUCUCUUAAGAGGCCAUCCUUGUCUAAGGUGGGAGAAAGAAGUUGCCAAACUGGGGGGACCUGUGGUGAAAACCAGUUGCUGAAAUGUGCCCAUGCAAUAAAUCUUUAAAGAAGUCACAACAUUAAUGGUGCUAUCUAAUUUUGUUUAUUUUAAAAUGCUGUCUAGGAAUACUAAAAUAAGCAAUGAAAAUACGAAAUCACUGAAGUUCCUCAUGAAAAAUGAAGAUGGAAUGAAAGAAAAUCUCCGUAAGAAAAGCUAAGGAAAAACAAAACCAGACACCAAUCUCAAAGUUUAUGCAAUCAAAUAACGUCCUUGGCAAAAUGAUGGGAUGAAUAUAUGAAGGUUCAGAAGCAAUGGACCUGUUUCUUCUCUUUCUAUGCACAUAUGUCUUCCACCUGAGCAAUCACAGCCAAAACUGGAAGUACUUUCAGUGCCUUGUAGCAUGGAAGCACACUGGUAUCCUAAUCCCAUGAAUCACCCCAUAACCUUGGUGUCACCAAGACGCCAACUCUGUCUUCUCCCUGACAUACCAGGUUUCCUGGUUCUGGGCCUGAGUAUCCAAAAGACCACCUUGUCUGGAGUCCCUGGUUGCCAGUGUGUAUCACAGAUGCUGCUACAUUGGUCUGACUAAUUAAAUACACAUUUUUUUUUCAAGAAAAAUACAUGGAACAGUAGUGCCAAAUUAAUCCUGACAUGAACAUUGAAGUGGAUGUUACUUCAAGAAAAUCAGAAGAAUGGCAGAUAACAAAACUUCUCUUCUGUUUUCAUUAACUGGCCUACUGAUUUUUCUUUUUAGGCUUUUUAUAUAAAGAUACUAAUUUAAAUAGACAUUUGCUACCUUUUUAAGCUUAGUUUACUGACAGAAUGGCGACACAAAUAUUUCUGAUUUAGGAGUAUGGAAAGCUUUAAAUUUGUUCUGGGCACCGACCAAAUAGUUGUCUUUAUAAAAUAGUGAAGGUAGUGCUUCUGAUGUCAUUUAAAAGUGACUUGUGAGAGCUCUGCAUGGAAGGAAAAAAAAUAUACAUAUAUAAAGCUCUGACUGUCUUUUGUUUGAAUUUUUCUUUACAGAGUUCUUUUACCUGCCUGCCUAGAGAGUAAACUCAGAGAAAUGGAAAAUGUGGAAAGUGCCAAAGGGAAAAAAAUGUGGUAAAGGUUCAAAUAUUAAUCUAGAUCUAGGAAGCUUUAAAUUUUAUUUGCAUAUUUUGUUUAUAGAAAUCAAACUAAAAUAACUGACAUGAGAUAUUUUCAUUAUCAAAAAAACCCUCUUAUAAAUUCCAGCAUAUCUUUUCAGGAAUAAGACU